rnacentral:misc_RNA from 1 species
AUUAUACCACCAAACAAAUUCUCUGGCAGCGUAUAUGCCAGACAGAUCUUCUCUGGGUAUUCCUAGAGCUUGAUCACUUUCAGCUCCAUAAGAAAGCACCACCGCAUCAUAUAAUUCACGCAGCUCAGCCAAAGAUAUAGAUGCUCCAAGAGAAACAUUCCCAAUGAACGAGCAACGUCUAUUUUGAGCAACCCGAGAAAACUGGUUCGUCACAACCUUUGUUUCAGGAUGAUCAGGAGCCACUCCAGACCUGACUAAUCCAAAUGGCGUAGGUAACCGAUCAACUAUAUCAACUUCAGCUCCCUCGUGAGCUUUCAAAAUCUUAUCGGCAGUAUAGAACCCAGCAGGCCCGCUCCCCACGAUGCAAACACGUAAUGGUUCGGAAGAAACUGUAGAAAAGCUCCUGCAGAAAUUGAGAGCUCUUGAAAGAGCCAUCUCUCCAAUUUUCUCUGUGCCGGCAAUGGAGAAAUUCUGUCUGCUUUGGUGACGGGUUAUGCACACCAGGAGCUUUUAAGAGCUCAAAAAUUGCGAGGAAGAAAG